GAGGGUAUAGCUCAAGUGGUAGAGUGCAUGCUUAGCAUGCACAAGGUCCUGGGUUCAAUCCCCAGUACCUCCU
rfam:Camelus ferus unplaced genomic scaffold scaffold1541, whole genome shotgun sequence.